rnacentral:rRNA from 1 species
AACGUUAUUCGGAAUCACUGGGCUUAAAGCGCGUSYWKGCGGCCCGGAGCAUCGUCGGCUGAAAUCCCCCGGCUCAACCGGGGAACGGGCCACGAGAUGUCCGGGUUGGAGGGGGGUAGGGGGAGCCGGAACUCACGGUGGAGCGGUGAAAUGCGUUGAGAUCGUGAGGAACGCCCGUGGCGAAAGUGGGCUCCUGGACCCCGCCUGACGCUGAGACGCGAAAGCCAGGGGAGCGAACGGGAUUAGAUACCCCGGUAGUCCUGGCCGUAAACCAUGARCACUGGGUAGGGGGYUCGCCGAUGGGCUCCCUGCCSCAGCGAAAGCGUGAAGUKCUCYGCCUGGGGAGUAUGGUCRYAAGGCUG